rnacentral:rRNA from 1 species
GUGAGGAAUAUUGGACAAUGGGCGCAAGCCUGAUCCCGCCAUGCCGCGUGCAGGAAGACGCAUCUAUGGUGUGUAAACUGCUUUUGUACGGGAAGAAACACUCCCUCGUGAGGGAGCUUGACGGUACCGUAAGAAUAAGGAUCGGCUAACUCCGUGCCAGCAGCCGCGGUAAUACGGAGGAUCCAAGCGUUAUCCGGAAUCAUUGGGUUUAAAGGGUCCGCAGUCGGUUUAAUAAGUCAGUGGUGAAAGCCCAUCGCUCAACGAUGGAACGGCCAUUGAUACUGUUAGACUUGAAUUACAAGGAAGUAACUAGAAUAUGUAGUGUAGCGGUGAAAUGCUUAGAUAUUACAUGGACUACCAAUUGCGAAGGCAGGUUACUACUUGUGGAUUGACGCUGAUGGACGAAAGCGUGGGGAGCGAACAGGAUUAGAUACCCUUGUAGUCC